rnacentral:rRNA from 1 species
AACGAACGCUGGCGGCAUGCCUAACACAUGCAAGUCGAACGAGACCUUCGGGUCUAGUGGCGCACGGGUGCGUAACGCGUGGGAACCUGCCCUUAGGUUCGGAAUAACUCCCCGAAAGGGGUGCUAAUACCGGAUAAUGUCUUCGGACCAAAGAUUUAUGGCCUUUGGAUGGGCCCGCGUUGGAUUCGCUAGUUGGUAAGGUAAAAGCCUACCAAGGCGACGAUCCAGAGCUGGUCGGAGAGGAUGAUCAGCCACACUGGGACUGAGACCCGGCCCAGACUCCUACGGGAGGGAGCAGUGGGGAAUAUUGGACGAGGGGCGAAAGCCUGAUCCAGCAAUGCCGCGUGAGUGAUGAAGGGCUUAGGGUUGUAAAGCUCUUUUACCCGGGAUGAUAAUGACAGUACCGGGAGAAUAAGCUCCGGCUAACUACGUG